AAUAGAUACCCGGGUAGUCCACGCCGUAAACGGUGGGCGCUAGGUGUGGGGGGACUUUCCACGUCCUCUGUGCCGCAGCUAACGCAUUAAGCGCCCCGCCUGGGGAGUACGGCCGCAAGGCUAAAACUCAAAGGAAUUGACGGGGGCCCGCACAAGCGGCGGAGCAUGUGGCUUAAUUCGACGCAACGCGAAGAACCUUACCAAGGCUUGACAUGCAGGGAAAUCUCGUAGAGAUACGGGGUCCGCAAGGGCUCUGCACAGGUGGUGCAUGGUUGUCGUCAGCUCGUGUCGUGAGAUGUUGGGUUAAGUCCCGCAACGAGCGCAACCCUUGUCCUAUGUUGCCAGCGAGUAAUGUCGGGGACUCAUAGGAGACUGCCGGGGUCAACUCGGAGGAAGGUGGGGAUGGACGUCAAAUCAUCAUGCCCCUUAUGUCUUGGGCUGCGCACAUGCUACAAUGGUCGGUACAAAGGGCUGCGAGACCGCAAGGUGGAGCGAAUCCCAAAAAGCCGGCCUCAGUUCGGAUUGGGGU
rnacentral:rRNA from 1 species